GACUCGAUCAUCUUGAGGGUCUUUACCAAUAUAAAUGAUGCUAUUGUUCUUAGCCUAAGACAUGGCAUUGUUUUCCAACACAGGGAACAUUAACAUAUGCAGCAACUCUGGCUAAAAUGGAACAUAAACACUAUCAAGGCUUCUGUGCAAAACCUCACUUACAGGCCACAGCACCAAGAAGGGAAGGAGGAAGAGAUAACAAACAGUUGUACUGUACUCACUCCUUCCUCACAAUGAAAUGCCUGCUCUACAUGCUGUUAUCAAACAAAAAGGAAAAAAAAAAAAAAGAACAACUCAAGAAACUCUGGUAUAAAAAAAAAAAAGCCAAAAAAUAACCCUCUACACUGUAACACACUAACUCUUACCUGCAAUUUAAUUCUACAAUUGUAACUUAGAGCAAAAGACAGGGAACUCUGCAACCCAUUCAGAAGUUUAAUAAGCCUGAGCCCUUUACACUGAAGCAGAAUACAGGUGGAUACUUACUCAAGUGUCCCCUAAUGCCAGUGGAAAGACUGAAACUUUCAUCUUUUGCACUGACCCCACAGUCAUUCUGGGAUGGACCCUAAAGAUAAGCCCAAUUACUUGGAACCCGACCAGCCCAUUGCCAGAUCUGCUGAUUGACCACUAUUCAGCACAGGUCACUGUAGCACAAAACUAUAGAUCUAAGCAAUGUUUAUUUAGUCCAACUUCUUUCUUGCCAAGACCAGAGAUAAGAAAUAGAGAAAAAACACACUGGUGUGCCCUGUUUUGUGGUCCACCCCUAAAAGAUCUGUCCAUGAUCUUCAACAGGCUAACACUCCUGCGUCCAGGAUUGCCAUGGCCUAACCCACAGAGAGCGACCCAGCGGGACUGCCAGGCUGGGCUGGCACAAGCACACACUCACCUGCUCGGGUUGCCCACUCCUGUGUGGCAGCAGCAGCUUGGGGAGUCCGGCAGGGCCACUGGCAGGCACUUCAUGUGACACGGUGUCAGGGUGCAGCACAGACUCACCUUCCCACCUCCCCGCGGGUUACCUGCCAACAGGCUGGAAUAAGCUCUUGGCGAGAUGAGGGAAGGCUGCACAGAGCCCUCGGCAGUCAGGGCUUACAUAACCCUGCCAGCACAGGUUGGGUGCAGCCCAGCUGGUGGAGUCUCACAUGAAAUCUACUGUCUGCAAUGUACAGAGUAUAUGGAAAAGAAAAUCAACAUAACAGAAACCAAACUAAGCAAGUACAUAAAGACUUGCAAACUAGAAACUAAAAUUGUAGGGGGGGGAGUGGUGCAGGGAGACAACUCCUUUCAUCCUUUCAUAGCACUGCUGAUAAAACAUGUAGAAAGAGAAUUUAAAUGAAUUAGUCUUUUGUACAGAAAUUAAUUGUGCAGAAAAUAGCACUAAAAACAGACAAAAAAUUUAUUAGUAAAACCCAUUGAUUUCCCAGGUCUUUGAAAUACAUGGGAGGGAUUCAUUUGAAGUCUGACUAUUUGAAAUUAAAUUUACCAUUUCAAAACUUUAGUCUGGCCAGGCUAUUUUAUUUCUUUCUUUGAGGUUCAUGCAAAUUACAUCAAUUUCCCUCAGAAUUGCUCUUCCAAGAUAAAAUCAAUUUCCAGUAAGUAUGUAUUUCUGAGUCAACAGAGAUGCAACAAAGUCUUUAUUAGCCCUUUAACUAACAGAAAAAAAUUACAUCUAACUUGGUUAUUUCUCUAAACAUUAGUUUGACUCCUUUUUUUGGUGAAAAUAAAAAAAAAAUUCUAGAUAAAGCAAGCUAUAGUCCAAGAAGUAAGAAACAAGCAAAACAGGCUGAAAUCACUAAAGAAAUCCGUCUUCACUUCCAUCAAGAAAUAUUGCAUAUUUAGGCAGAUAUGCAUUGCUAAGAAGACAGCCUACAAUAAAAUUACCCUGUCAUUUUCAAGGAAGAGAAAUUUUAAAUGUGCUCCCAUACAAGGGCAACAGAACGUUUUCUGGUUCAUAUUGCCUAUCACAGUUUUCUUUCACUAUCCCCACUUACUUAGUAGUUGGGCCUUAAAAGCAGAAACAACUUGGGUUACCUCUAACAAGGUAAUCAAAUUUAGUUGCAUCACUUUAUAUGCACUACUCAAAAGUACUGAGUAAUAAAGGGCUAAGCAUGUUAAGGUCAUUUUUCAAUGUAACUGGGCAGAAGAUAAGCAGAUGGUAUUAUUCUCCAAGGACCUACUUGAAAAUACAUAAAUCCUGCACUGCACUUUGAAAUAUACUUUAUACUGACUGGAGUUUCCAGUUUUUCAGGACAAUCUCUAAGACACUUGAGAUUUACCCUGAAUCAGUAUUAAGAAAACACUGCAUUACAGUAAUUACAUUUCUCACUAAUAGAAGACACAGAUGUAGAAAUAUAAUACCCACAUAAAGUGUCAGGAAAGCAGCAUCAUAAAGACUGUCUCCUUAGUUUUAAAAAUGCUGAAGAACUAUCCCCUGAAAGUGUUGUUGCAACUUCUCUGUCUCUGUCCACUUUAAAUAUCCUGAAGUGGCUGCAGCUUUGAGAACUUAUUGAGCUUUUAGAGAAAAAAAAUCUAGAUAGAAAGACAGGUAAAUAUCUGCAUUUCUCAUCUCACUGACCAUUAGACUGGAAAUAUCUAGAAUACACCUGAAAACAACACAGAAAACAGUCCCAGACAUAUUUCUCUAGUAAUGUAAGAGUGUGCCACCUUCUCAAACUGAAGGGGUCCCCUUCCCAUGCAGACCACAUGCCCUUCUCACCAGCUUCCACCUCUGGAACGUUAUUUGGGUACCACAUGCUGAAAAACCUUGCAGUGCACUGCUUCCAGGUUUGCCAUCCAUAUAACCUCCUCAAGCUUUGCAAGCACAGAGCUACAGAGCAGGAGAAUAAGCACAAGCUCCCCAGCGUUGCUAAAGCUUUGAUUACUGCUGAAGCUCUGGAAACUGGCUAAUGCAUAGCAGAUCUUCAAGAUGAAGCAAGGAGCUUAGCAGGAAGAAAUCUGAUCUUAUUUGACAUCCUACAGGUCACAAGUCAUUAAUCUCUGUAUAUCAAAGACAUCUUUCACUAAGAUUCCUCUUCCACUGGACUGAGAACAGAAUAGGUAUUUUUGAAACUUGGAUCUAGAGAAACAGUACAAAGGCAGCAAGAAACACUCAAGACAGCCUACUGCAGAUUGAAAUGUUCUAUCAGCUUUAUCAGUCUGGUGCAUAUCCUAAGUGAGGAAUAUUAACCCAAUCAAGAUAAAGCACAACCCUAGAUUUUAGUCUUCUUUUGCAACUUCGACUUCAGUAUUGCAGCUUUAUGCUUCACGUGCAUCCUAGGUUUCCUUUACAAGCCUUUUUUUUGCUGGCUUUUUUUUUUUUUUUUCUUUUUCCUUUUUAACUGACCUGGAUUUAGAACACUGAAAAAUUCAUAAUGCUCUCUCAAAUUGAAUUUCCAAGUGCAGCAGUGUGUGCUGAGGAACCUGCCAGCACAUUUAGGCAACUGACCUCUCCUGCUGAGAGGAUCAGCAGAGCACACAGUAUUUGACGGCAGGCGCAGACCAAUACCCUGGGAAACUGCAGAAGAGGAACACUUGCAGAGCUCCAAGGAAUACAGACCUUGCUACUGAUCCACUGAAAGAGUUGUAUGAGAAAGCUGCUACAUCUCAAAUCCCUAAAACACAUGCUACUUUUCAUAUCACAUUUAAACAGCAAAAACUAUCCUAAAUUGAAUGAAUAUUAAUGUUAAUAUAUUUUGCUAGCAUUUAAUUUCAUUAGCUAAUAUUAUAGACAUUUGUUGAGUA
rnacentral:lncRNA from 1 species